UUGACAACCAUGUAAGAUAGGCACUCUUAUAAAACCCAUUUUACAGAGGAAAUUGAGGCUCAGACAGGAUAAGCCCCUCCACUAGCAUGCGGCUAAUAAAUGACAGAACUGAGAUUAGAAUAUGGUCUGUGUCCUAGAUGGGAAGGAUAAAAGGAAAAAGACAUUCAGGACAGGAAAGGGAUUGAGAGGUGAAGGAAGGGAAAAUUAAUAGGGAAGAAAGCAGAAGGCAGGGAAACCGGAAAUCUGGUACAUAAAAUACUGAUCAUAUUCUGGAUUUAUUUCAAGUAUGCUGUAAGAUCGUCGAACAAAUUAAUUUUGUUUCACAAACUUGGGCUCCCUUUUAUGCUAGCGUAGUGACCUGAGAGGUUCUGAAUGUUUCAUUUCAAGAGGAUGAGUAUAAGUAUCACCUGCAUCCUCAAAUGAUGCUGCCCUUCUUGAAAAGGGAACUUGGAGGGAUGAGAGAACAGACUUCUUUUUGGUUGUUAGGCUUUUGCUAAAUAUUCUCCCCUCCGAUCCUCGUUUACUGUCAUAGCUCUGAGAAUCUCACAUCUGACUCCCUGCGGUAAUAGUAAUUGCAAGCAAAUAGUUAUUUAAUUCUCACAGCAAUCUUAUGAAAUAUGUAACUACCAUUAUUUCCAUUUUACAGAGGAAGACACUGAGGUUUAGAGAGUUUAGGUGGCUUGCCCAAAGUCACACUGCUAGAGCGUGUGAGAGCUGGAACACUGAUUCAAACCUAGACCUUCUGAUUACAGGUGUCUCUGACCAUUACACGGUCUCCCGACUGGCCUCUCUAGGACUGGUUCCCCGCAGUACAGCCUGCACAAGGCCAUGUUUCAGAGCAAGGUUUAAUGCUCUGUGCAUUCAAACAUGAAAGCUAUUUUCAGAAAUAGAGAGAGUCCUAAGUCAUGCUGUCAAUUUCCUUGAGGUGCAUCCUGAGGGCAUGGGCUGGUCCAGGCACGGCAGGAACUGACAUGGAAGGAGAGCAGCACCAGUGGACACCAGAGGGGUUUGAAGAGGGUCAGUUUCAUCAUCCGUAAACUUGCCCUUGGUGUAGGGCACCCAGUCCAGAAUCAUCCACCAGUCCGUGGCCCACACCAGCCCCACAGCGUGAGGUCCACUUUCUAAAGAAUGGACCAAGGACCUGCAAGGCACCCCCUCCAGCACGCACAACAAUAUGGAAUUGCUUCUUCAGCCAUCAUCCUUACCACCUCACUAAGUCCAUAUGAAGAGAAGACCAGAAAUCGGAGGCGAAUUCGUUGACACACAAGCCAGACAUCAGAUUCAGGAGUUGACAGACUAAGGUGAUGAAUGCUGUGGUUUUCCUGUUCAAAUGUGGGGGAUCCAAGAGAACCCCUCAAAGCUAGGGUGGCUGCUGAGCUGCAGAACUUUGGAGACUGUUAAUUUGGGUCCUCUGGGAAGCAGAUGCUAAGAGUGAGUUAAGAGUGUCAGAAGCUUAUGGAGUAGGUAAACUCCUGGGAGACGUCAAGACAGGGAAGGAGAAUUGGACAAGGAAAACUUCAGACGAUGAUACACAUUUCACACCUGUGAAAAGAAAUGGUGGGGGGGGAGGUGCACAAUUGAGCAGGGAGAGCGUGCAGAUGGUGAUGCAGCUAUGACAUCUUCAAAGGGGGCAGAAAGUACGAUUCGGCAGAAAGAACCUGAAUCCACAGCGCAGAGCUAACAAAGUUUCAGCCAGCCCAGUGGUGAGCUUUGGAGCAGAGAUUGCCCGUUAGAGGAAUCCCAUAUCGGGCAGAAAAUGGACGGGUCCUCGUACCCCUGCCAUGCUCAGUUGUCAUUGGUUGGAGGAUGCCCAGAAAGAGCAUCUUGGUUAAAACACUGCAGUGGAUCCUGAAGGUGCUACAGCUGGAGGCUGUCAGCUACCUUCACUCCUGCAGCUAACUGGCAAAUUCUUUCUUGAAGGGAGAGCCUGCCACAGGGGACUACCUGGGAGCGCCACCAGAGUGGAGGGUGGUGAAAGAAUUUUUGAGAACUUGACACUUGCCUCCUGGAAUUUGAGGGCACCUGUGAACAUAGAGAAUGAUUCCGACUUCUCCCCCAGAGAAUGCUGCCCGUGGAAUAAAAUAACCUAUGACAGCGGGGUAAGGAGAGAAGGCAGAAGUGGGGGAGCUUGUUCUUGCACCGGUAGGCAUGGUGAGGAUCGUUGAGUAUCCCAAGCAACAAGUAGGCGCCUCCAAAUGAAGCUGGACUCCAGCUGUUGCGAAGUUAUCCUGCUUUCAGCAGGAAACCUGUUGAGGUGAGGGGUCCCCAGUAGUAAGAGGCCAUGAGGUAUACUAUCAGGGAUAGGAACUGAAGGAAGGUUGCAAGUAAAUCAGCAAGAGAGCCCAGUUUUCAAACUGGGGAACUGUGCAGUGUGGAGAUUUUUUGGCAUCUCUGAAGAAUCCAUAUAUGUGUCUCCCUAACAUCUACCUCCCCAAAAGCAAGCAUUAGGCGUAUCUGCCACACCGAGGACAUCAAGGCCAGCCUAUAAUAGGCAGGAGAGAGCUACAAAAGAGGCCAGAUAAGUAAAAAUAAAAACAAAAAUGAAACAUCAAAAACAAAACACUUGGGAAUGCCUGGAUGGCUUAGUCGGUUAAGCGGCUACCUUCAGCUCAGAUCAUGAUCCCAGGGUCCUGGGAUCGAGUCCUGAAUCAUGCUCCUUGCUCAGCGGGGAGCCUCCUUCUCUCUCUGCCUGCUGCUCCCCCUGCCUGUGCUCU
rnacentral:lncRNA from 1 species